rnacentral:rRNA from 1 species
CCUACGGGGGGCAGCAGUGAGGAAUAUUGGUCAAUGGACGAGAGUCUGAACCAGCCAAGUAGCGUGAAGGAUGACUGCCCUAUGGGUUGUAAACUUCUUUUAUCUGGGAAUAAAAUGUUCCACGUGUGGGAUUUUGUAUGUACCAUGUGAAUAAGGAUCGGCUAACUCCGUGCCAGCAGCCGCGGUAAUACGGAGGAUCCGAGCGUUAUCCGGAUUUAUUGGGUUUAAAGGGAGCGUAGGUGGAUAGUUAAGUCAGUUGUGAAAGUUUGCGGCUCAACCGUAAAAUUGCAGUUGAAACUGGCAGUCUUGAGUACAGUAGAGGUGGGCGGAAUGCGUGGUGUAGCGGUGAAAUGCUUAGAUAUCACGAAGAACUCCGAUUGCGAAGGCAGUUCACUGGACGGCAACUGACACUGAGGCUCGAAAGUGUGGGUAUCAAACAGGAUUAGAUACCCGAGUAGUC